rnacentral:rRNA from 1 species
CUGGGUCGAUAGGCCGGACGUGGAAGCGGGGACGAAAGACCCGUGCAGCUGACCGGUACUAAUCAGCCGACAACUUCAACA